UUCCUCCUCCUCCCCUUUAGCCUCCUGCCUUAAUAGCGGCUGCGCCUGCGAGGGGGGUCCGGAUGCCCGGUGCUCCGGGGUCACGGGCUCCUGAUGGCCCUCUGGGGUCACCGGGUCAUGGGCGCCAGCGGGCGGCGGCAGCGUCAGGGGCAUGGGGAUGUGGGGAGAGGGAACGAGGGGUCCGACCUAGCCCGAAAGCGAGCUCUGGGGCUUUCUCCUGUCGUACUGGCCACUACCUGAGUCUAGGUUGGGGCAACAGAACUACAGUUACGGAAGAAAAGUACACAUUAUUCCACUUCUUCCUUCCGCAACGCACCCUUUCCUGACCUUUCUACCCCCCUGAACCUGCCCAGCUGGAUGCGACGUCCCAGGGGCUUAUGGUCAAGCUAGCUGGUCAGUCUGGCUGAUCGUAGGUGCUUGCCAGAUGUCGAAACCGCUGAUAGCCCUAGCACUCAACCCACGGAUAACUCUCCCAAGCUUGAGAGAAGAAAAGCAAGGCUCUUUUUAUAAUUUAUGGUGACAAGACAGUCUGGACUGAGGCUCCUUAAAUGUUAAUUUGUAAAGAAAUCAUCACCAUGUACAUACAGUAGGACCUCUUGGACCAACAGCACCAACGGGACCAACAACACCAGCAGGACCCUUGGGACCCACGGGGCCAUGAGGACCAGGUGCGCCCACAGCGCCAACUGGACCAAUGUUGCCAGGGUAACCGCGUUCUCCCUACCAAAGGCAAAGUGAAGUUUAGCAUCAAACUGUCCUGUGUUUUGGUCACUUUUCAAUUGGAGAAAGACAGAGAGGUAUACUGACCUUGUGUCCAGGUUGACCGUCGCGGCCUGGGGGACCAUCAUUCCCAGGGUUGCCCUGUGAAGACACCACACCAAUGAAGGCACUUAGUGAGGCUCUUUAACCCACCAGCCCCUAUAGUUCAGCUCCUCCGUCUUCAUCACUCCCAGUGCUCACUAGUGAACCCGCUUUCAGACUGUUAAAAGACAGGAGCAAGAACUUGCCAACCUAGUUUCUUUUAGAGGUGUUUUGGAUAUUUUGGCCAACUUUGAAGCAUGCUCUUCAAAGACCCAUCCAUCCCCCAGUCCAAGUAAUUUUUCGUAUUUUCAAUACCUGGAGUGGUCAGUACAUGUUGAUUUAAUGGAGAAACAGACCAUCUUGUUCCAAAACUUGGAACAAGAGGAACUCAGCUCAGGAUAUGAUGUUGCACAUAAUGAAACACAGCUAGGUUUUCUAGCUAUGUUUAUGUAGUUAGUAUGUAGUCUAGUAUGACAAACCAAGCGUCAUACUCACAUCCCGACCAGCUUCACCAGGAGCACCAUUGACUCCAGGUGCGCCCACAGCACCAGAGGGACCACGAGCCCCAGGUGGACCAGCGAUGCCGAGAGGUCCAGGUUCACCCUAGAGGCAGAGAACACAAAACAACAUUCUUCUUAUUGGAUUGAGAGCAAACCUCACCCUUCCUAAACAACCCCGGCGAGGAGAUUCCAGUUUGCAAGGAGAAGGGCUACCACGAGGACCAGCAGGACCAGCGGGACCGGCAGGACCGGCUUCACCCUUUAAUGGAACCAAAGAUGAGCCUGUUAAUGUGU